GCGCGAGGGAAGGCAGACGACCCUGGCAGAGGUUCCGCUUCAGAGCGGAAGGUUGCUUGGCUUGGCUGGGCUGAGCUGAGCUGCACAUCGUGGUAACUACGGCAUGUCUGCACACAGGGAAGCCAGUGGGGUGGGAGAGAGGGAGGCGGCAGGAGGGAGCGGGGAACACGGAGUGGGCAGGAGGGCAUGAGCGCUUGUGCCAUGGGCUUUGCGGCCCUUCCGCAACAUUCCAAUGAGACACCAGGCCUGGCGAAGUCAACAUCCGCCCCCUUCCAGCAGUGCCCCUUAAAGCAUGGCACUGCACCAAGAAUAGGGGCGGGAAUUGGGGAAGGUGAAGAAGACCUGAUGAGGGUAACGGGCUGCCACCACGUCCAGGUAGCCCGGCAACGGUAGCACAGGGUGUCAGGCUGCAGAAGCCACCUCUGCCCAGCAAUGCCUCUCUCACUCAGCUACACGGUCAGCAGAUGAUUUACAUCCUCUAAUGAUUAUUUUUGGUCUCCUGUAUUCAGCGACGUCUGCUGCCACUUCCACCCUCCAUCAAGGUGACUUUGAUAGAGACAAGCAGCCCAUGACAAGAUGAGUGACCUGCAAGGUGCAAUCACCAGUGGCCACCCCAGGCAAGUCCCAUUAGCAAACCAGAUGGGGAAGUGACAUUUAGACUUCUCCUAAACAGCCAUCGCAAUGUGACAGGGACAGUGGCAAAGCGGUGUGCAGGUAAAUAUCAAAGGGAGGCUGUCCAUCCAUUUAACAGUAUUUCUUCACACCUACUGUGUUCCAGGCCGUCCCAGGACAAGGCAGAUGGGGUCUGCUAGCCUCUCACGUUAAGACUGGGAAACGCAAAGCGGCGGGUAUGAUGCAGAAGAGCCGGGGGUCACGGUGGUCUCCUGGAGAAGACGGCACUGGAGGUAAAGCAUGACAGCAGCUAUGGGGAGAGAGGCACUGCAUAGCGACAGUUGUUUCGGAAGUUUAAGAUGCUUAAACAACCUCAAGGUCUACCAGCAAGUCAGAUUCGUGUUGGAUACCAUGAGACCUGGGAUUCUGUGCUACUUCCGCUGAACGAGGAACUGGCAGCCUAAUCUUGAUCCACACUUUCAAGGGCGAGGUGGAGAGGCCACCUUCCCAACACCUUAGGACUGGGCUGAACAUUAAACGCGGGGGAAACAGCAUGCACUGAAUCCCCGGUUACACUGGCCGCCGCUCCCUGCCUGAAGAACACCUCUGGGUGGCACCAUCCUUUCCUUUCCCUUGCUCCUCUUCCUCUGUUUCCACCUCCCACUCACCCCUUCCCCAGGCCAGUCAGAGCACUGCUAGAGUUAAUUACAAUAUUAUAAGACAAAUUAUAACAGCAGCACAUCUUGGAAAAGAAUCACAUCCACAUCUGACAGCCCUUUGGGGUGAUUCUGCUGUUCCCUAUUUCUCUCUCCGAGUCUUCUUAAGGUAACCUUGAGCAAAAGAACCACUAAUGUCUGACCAAGGAGCUGGCGUCCAGGUCCCCCAGAAGGAAAACAGUGCCAUCUUAUGAUAUUUACUAAGCACUUCUUGGCAGCAGACAUUGUUAGGCACUUCAGGUGUGUCAUCUCCAAUCCUUAAAACAAUCCCACAAGGUAGACGCAAAAACCAAGACACAGAUAGGGUUUUCGAGAAAACACCAUCUACCCAGAGGCCUCCAGAAAGACACUGGACCACAGUAGAAGAGGUAAACCAAAAGACUUCAGAUCCCAACAAGACCAAGCCCAGGAAAUCAUGUGCAACGCAAACCAUCUAUACUCUAGCGUGAGAACAUCACACUCCCUGCCAUCCUAACCUGGUAAAGUCAUUCCAACAGCAGAAAUGCUGUGAAAUAAGGCACAUCCUUAACACAGGUUCAUUCACUGGCCCCCUCCCAUCUCAUGGGACCCCCCCCUUUCGUCACUCCUCAGUCUUUUCACAGUAGCAUUAAUAUGACCUAUUUAUAGUAUGCAUUUUUUCCCCUUCUUUUCGUAAGUAUUGAUAACCGCACUUCACUCACAGUAGCAGAGCCUACAUAUGGUUGAACCUUACUCGCUCACCUGGGGCUUUUGAUCCCAGUCCCUGAAACAGUUUACCUAACUAGUUUUUCCCCGUGUUCCCUUUUUAAGCUACGUGAUGUGAAAGCCGCGAGUCUUUUUUAUUUUCCACAGGAAUUGGUGUCAGUAACUGUAAAUUCAUCCUGAAACGGCCAGCGCAAGGAUGACCAUCAGGCCGCGGGCCAGACCUGGUCCAUAGGCCACGGUUUGCCAAACCCUGCUCAAAAGCCUGACCAAAGGCCACAGCAGGAUCUUUAAAAUUGCCAGUUAGAAGAAAUAUCCAUUUGGUAGCAUAGUAGAAGGUGGGUUUAAAGAGACAGAAGACAUCAUUCAUUCAGCCGGCAUUUAAGGACCCGUAAGGUACCAGGUGCUGCUCCAGAUAUGCGUGACAGUUGGUGUCUUUGAGGAGCUUAGAGGCUUGCUGGGUGGGCAAACAGACCAACACCUCCACAGCCCAGCAUGCUGGAAGCUCUGACAGCGGCAGGCACAGGGCACGGGGAGCUCCCAGAGGGGGCACUGCAGUCAUGGCAGGGAUGAAUUCCUGGAC
rnacentral:lncRNA from 1 species